rnacentral:tRNA from 1 species
UCCUAAUUAGUACAGCGGCUAGUAUAUGUCGUUUUCAUCUCUAUGAAAGCGCCGACAAGACCCGGGUUCGAUUCCCGGAUUGGGAA